AUGACUCUGCUCUUUCUUUGUAAGAAAAAGGUGGCUAGGGGAAGAAGAUGAUAUCUGGAUUUGUUUUCACACCAAGGCUGAGAAAUAUAUAAACCAAGCUAAGGAGGAGUGCCUUUAGCCCUACUAAAGUCUGGAUGCAAAUAUUCUUGCAGAAAUGGCCCAGAAAUUGUACUUUGCAGGACAUGGUCAUUGCCUCCAGUUGACUUCUGCUGCCCUGAGAAGAGGGAUGCAUGGCAAGCCUGACCCAUGGCAAGCAGACUUUUCCUGAGGUGCAUCCAAGCUUGUGGGUUGUAACUCUGCGUUCCAGGAAGAUCAGCUGCCUGGUCUAUGAAAAUGAGCUCUAUUUGAGAUACCUGAAGUGGAGAACAGUCAUUCUUUCAUUGAUUUUUAGAAAUAUGGGUCACC